GGUCUUAUGAUUUGGCCUGCUCUAUGUAUAAUAAAUGGCCGCGGUAUAUUGACCGUGGGAAGGUAGCAUAAAAAUUAGGCUAUUAAUUGUGGUCUUGAAUGAAAGGUUGGACGAGGAAAAUACUUUUUUAUUUGCAUUGUUGAAUUUAAAUAAUUAGUAAAAAUGCUAAUAUGAUAUAAAAAGACGAGAAGACCCUGUUGAGUUUUAUAUUUAUUUUAUUUUUUAUAUUUAAUUGGGGCGAUGGUUAUUAAACAAUUUUUAUAUUUGAUCCCUUUUUAGGGAUUAAAAAAAAAAAUUACCCCAGGGAUAACACCAUAUUUUGAUUGGAGAGUUCUUUUUGAUAUUCAAGUUUGUGACCCCAAUGUUGAAUAAAAAUUCCUUUUAGGGGCAGGGGCUUAAAAAGGUAAACUGUUCUCCUAUUAAAUUCUUACA
rnacentral:rRNA from 1 species